GAUGAACGCUAGCGGCAGGCUUAAUACAUGCAAGUCGAGGGGCAGCAUGAGUAGCAAUACUUGAUGGCGACCGGCAAACGGGUGCGGAACACGUACAGAACCUUCCUUCGAGCGGGGAAUAGCCCGGAGAAAUCCGGAUUAAUACCCCAUAGUAAAUUGAAAAGGCAUCUUUUUAAUUUUAAAGUAUUAUUCACUUGAAGAUGGCUGUGCGCCUGAUUAGGUAGUUGGCGGGGUAACGGCCCACCAAGCCUUCGAUCAGUAACUGGUGUGAGAGCACGACCAGUCACACGGGCACUGAGACACGGGCCCGACUCCUACGGGAGGCAGCAGUAAGGAAUAUUGGUCAAUGGACGCAAGUCUGAACCAGCCAUGCCGCGUGGAGGAUGAAGGUCCUCUGGAUUGUAAACUUUCUUUUA
rnacentral:rRNA from 1 species